UACAGAGGGGGCUAGCGUUGCUCGGAAUCACUGGGCGUAAAGCGCACGUAGGCGGAUCUUUAAGUCAGGGGUGAAAUCCUGGAGCUCAACUCCAGAACUGCCUUUGAUACUGAGGAUCUUGAGUCCGGGAGAGGUGAGUGGAACUCCGAGUGUAGAGGUGAAAUUCGUAGAUAUUCGGAAGAACACCAGUGGCGAAGGCGGCUCACUGGCCCGGUACUGACGCUGAGGUGCGAAAGCGUGGGGAGCAAACAGG
rnacentral:rRNA from 1 species